rnacentral:rRNA from 1 species
CACGGGUGAGUAACACGUAUCCAACCUGCCGUCUACUCUUGGCCAGCCUUCUGAAAGGAAGAUUAAUACAAGAUGGCAUCAUGAGUCCGCAUGUUCACAUGAUUAAAGGUAUUCCGGUAGACGAUGGGGAUGCGUUCCAUUAGAUAGUAGGCGGGGUAACGGCCCACCUAGUCUUCGAUGGAUAGGGGUUCUGAGAGGAAGGUCCCCCACAUUGGAACUGAGACACGGUCCAA